AGACCUGUCAAGCUAUAGAGUAUGUGGAGCUAUAGGUGGGCUGAAACAAGGAACGAACUAGCACCACGUUAGUUAUAAAAGCGAGCUGAAUAAGCGUUCGACGAUGGUACUGUGCUGGUCCUAGGCUAGACCGUGCUAGAGACGCGAGCCUGGACACAAAGGAAAACCACAGCACACCCCCGAAAACAAGGUGGAAGAAACCUAAAAUCAAUAUGAAAAACAACCCUUUUUUUCUUUUGAAUCUUUUCUCUUUUCUUUUUUUUUCUUUUUUUUUGGGCAACCUCAAAAACUGAUUAUAUGAACAAAGGAAUACAAAAGAGCAAUUCGCUACACACACACACUCUCUCUCUCUCUCUAGAGUAAGGCCGAACAAGUAUGGAGUUAUCUUUCUUUUUGGAUCACAGUUCAAUUCGGACUUCACAACAGAUUCGACAGAGAGAAGAUAUGGUAAUACUCGGCUGUGUAUAGAUGGUGACAAGAACUCGAAACUCUAAAGGACUAGACACUAAGACCAGCAACUCGACACAAACCGAAGCAACGCAAAUUCAACAAGCCCUAACUAAAACGGUACUAGCCAAGGCACAAAGGUUUAAUAGGAUUAUGGAAAAACUAAUCUACUAUAUUUUUUUUGGCUUUUCUGGACUAUAGGAAAUUAAUUAAAAACAGCAAAGGAUUAGAAGUCUCUCACCGAAGAACCUUGCUCUGAUUACCAACUGUUGCGAACCCGCUAGGGUUUUUGGCCUGAUCUUUCGAUGAGAGGCGCUGGAUAACUCGAUUAGUGGAUGGAGAUGACGUUCACGGCCCGACUACAGCCCUCAAGACCGCGCCUUAGCAACCGAUACACCACGUCCAACAGCCGUCACGAUCUUGUGGAGCGCGACAACCAGCCCCUAGGGUUCCCGUCCUGCAAGCAAUCGAAGAACUAGCAAGAACGAGGAAACAAGCACUGAAUUUGCAAGAUGAAUUGAAGGUUUCAAACUGAAUCUGAAUCAACAAUGGGGU
rnacentral:lncRNA from 1 species